rnacentral:rRNA from 1 species
CAACUAGCGGUAGGGGAGUGUAGUAGAAGCGAAAAUUAAAGAAGUUAAACCGUGAGGAUUAAUGGAGCUUUUACUAGUAAGAAUGCCGGCGUGAGUAACGAUAGAAGGUGAGAAUCCUUCUGGCCGUAUAACCAAGGUUUCCAGGGUGAAGGUCGUCUCCCCUGGGUUAGUCAGGACCUAAGGCGAGGCCGAAAGGCGUAGUCGAUGGAUAAUAGGUUAAUAUUCCUAUACUAAUCGUUAUCACUAAAGAAAUGACGAAGUCAGUUAAGCAGGGCUGGUUAUUGAAUUCUGGUUCCUGUGAUACUUUGCUUCCUAGAAAAGUUUCUGAAGUUUUAGGACAAUGAUAACGGUACCUGUACCGAGAACGAACACACGUGGUUAGGGAGAAUAUCCUCAGGCCAGCGAGAAAACUACAGUUAAGGAACUCGGCAAAUUAGCCCCGUAAGUUAGCGAGAAGGGGUGCCUAGGGAAACCUAGGCCGCAGUAAAGAGGCACGAACGACUGUUUAUCAAAAACACAGCUCUCUGCUAACUCGUAAGAGGAUGUAUAGGGGGUGAUGCCUGCCCGGUGCUCCAAGGUUAAGAGGAGGGGUUAGCCCGCAAGGGUGAAGCUCUGAAUUGAAGCCCGAGUGAACGGCGGCCGUAACUAUGACGGUCCAAAGGUAGCGAAAUUCAUUGUCAGGUAAGUUCUGACCCGCAUGAAAGGCGUAACGAUUCGUGCACUGUCUCGACUGUAGACUCGGUGAAAUCUUAGUACCGGUGAAGAUGCCGGUUACCCGCAACUAGACGGAAAGACCCCGUGGAGCUUUACUGCAACUUGAUAUUGGGUCUUUUUUGCUACUGUAGAGAAUAGGUAGGAGACUGUGAAGUUGGAACGCCAGUUCCAAUGGAGUCGCCAGUGUAAUACUGCCCAGUGGUAAGGGAAAUUCUAACUUAUUGGUUUACAGCCAAAAGGACAGUGUCUGGUGGGUAGUUUGACUGGGGCGGUCGCCUCCUAAAGAGUAACGGAGGUGUUCAAAGGUAUCCUCAGCAGGUAUAGAAAUCCUGUGUAGAGCGUAAAGGUAUAAGGAUGCUUAACUGUGAGACCUACAAGUCGAACAGAUACGAAAGUAGGACUUAGUGAGCCGGUGGUACUUCGUGGUAAGGCCAUCGCAAGCGGAAAAGUUACCCCGGGGAUAACAGGCUAAUACUUCCCAAGCGACCACAGCGACGGAAGUGUUUGGCACCUCGAUGUCGACUCAUCGCAUCCUGGAGGUGAAGAAGCUUCCAAGGGUUGGGCUGUUCGCCCAUUAAAGCGGUACGUGAGUUGGGUUUAGAACGUCGUGAGACAGUUUGGUCCCUAUCUGUUGUGGGCGUAGGAAAUUUGCGGAGAGUUGCUCCUAGUACGAAAGGACCGGAGUGAACUGACCAAUGAUGUACCAGUUGUCCUGUCAAGGGCACGGCUGGAUAGUUAUGUCGGGAAUAGAUAAGCACUGAAAGCAUAUAAGUGUGAAACUAACUCCAAGAUAAGAUUUCCCAUCCCGAAAAAAA